UCUGGGUAGCUCAGGACUCUUUGGCCUCCAUGAACUGACAACUAGGGGAGGGCCUAGUCCAGCUCUCGUUAUCUCUACGGGAGGGACAGGGCAAAAUUUUGCUUGUCCGACGAGUUGUUGGCAGCCAUAUUGGAUUAAUUUAUACACAUUUGCUAAGAGUACCGGUGUAUGUAUAUGAAUUGUUGAUCUAAAUAGCAAGAUGGACAAAGAGGUCUUUGUAGGCUAGGGGUUUCUUUGUGAUUCUGUGAAAACUUCGAUGGAGUCAGAAUGUCAACGAGAACAUAAGCUUGCAGGGAAUCUUUUUUCAUUGAUGGAAAAUCGAAAGUACAAGCUUGCAGGAUACACAUUUUUAUUCAUGGAUGAGAAAGCUGAAGAAGGACAGAAUAAAAUAGCAUUAUCUAGUCGGAUACCUGCACUUGUACAGUCAUGAUACACAAAACUAUGCCUGCGUCUGAAAAUGUCGUCACUUUUGAUAGAACAAUCAUGCUAUAAGUGGAUAGAAUUUAACAAAUGCAAUUAUGUACAAUCUAUGGAGAAUCAAAGUAUGCUUCUUGGUCUUGGAAUCAAGUUAGAAUUGAUAGGGUAAACAAACAUCCAACCCCUGGUAUGACUUAACUGAAAUCAGAGUGUAUUCAAUUGCUAUUACCAUAAGAAACCAUAUUUUUAGUGAAAAUUACAUAUGGAAGUACUUGUCUUCUAUUUCACAUAGCUCCAAUGUACAUGUAUAACAUUAAUAUAUAAAAAAUAAUGGCCUUCUUCAGCUGAGUGUUUUAUAUGCACCACUUCCUAUAUACAACAAAGCAGCUAACAGAAAACAAAGAAACAAUGAUUGAACUAUGAAAACCUUACAAAAAACCUGACAGGUGUCAGAAAAUGGCACACAUGUGACAAGUUAUUAAAGCUUACAAAUUAUAAGUAAAUUCAAAGUAUAAUAGUCAAAUGUAAUAUUUUAUUUUUGAAGUAAACACACAUCAAUGCUUGUACAAUAUUGAAUAAUCAAGCUUAGCAAUCAUACAAGUGUCCAUGGUUACACAACUUACAGUUUUCCUUUUUUUCAUAGUUUUGCAUCACUGUCAAUAAUAAUUAAGUUAAGAAUGUCAAACCCAAAGUCACCUGAAGUGAACAAUAUUAGCUAGACUGAGUAAAAGUAGCUUACUGGUACAUAGCACAUUCCUCAAUGUUUGCACUUAUUUCUCAAUCUAGUUAAUUGUUAAAUACAAUUUAAAAAUUAAAGCCUAAAAAAUAAAUAAAUGAAUAAAAGUGGGAUAUUGACAUCAUCUGGGUUAGACAUCUACUAGUAAAUGUGUGAACUACCAGUACAUGUACAAUAUGUUUACAAAAAUCAUGAUCACUUUAUUAAUUUUGUUUAAUUUAGAGCUUAAUGUAAAUCAAAUGAAUUUAUAUUUGAAAUUUGAAAUACCAAGAAAAUCUUAGUUUAAAUUUAUAAACUCAACUUACUUCAUACAACAUAGUCUGAAUAGUCUAUUCUUGAUUUUGUCCACAAACAAAAAAACUCGAACAUUCCUGCAGAUAACUUUUACUAAAUACUAAGAGUCAGAUUACACUCUUAUACGUUUCCUUGGUCAUCAACUUCAUGGGAAAGAAUUUCAUGAAUGCCUUUUAUGAAAUCAUCAAUGCCUUUUAACUGAAAAGUAAAAGCGUAACCUCUCGCUUCACUGCAGUGGGGGCAUUUUUUAGUUAAUCCAUGGACCCCAUCAUACCAUGUAUUAAUGCAUUCUUCACAUCCUAGGAUGCUGUUACAACAUUUUGUAGCAAUGACUGGUGCUUUUAAGGGUGCUUUUAAACAUAUUUUACACUGGAAGGCAUCUUUGAUUACCUUCAUCAAUGCAACUGGUACUGCUAAUUUAUUAUUUACUUCAAGAACNUCUCUAACCAAAUCUUUCAAUUCACUUAUUUCCUGUUUAAGUUCUUGAAUGCUCUUAUCUGCAGUUUGCCUAUUUGGCUUCUUUUUCUUUGGGGGAGCAGCACACUCGUCAUCGCUGUCUGAGCUGAAGUAGGUAGUUGGCUUGACAGCGUAAAUCUUCCUUGCACCCGAUCUCCAAAAGCUCAUUCCUGUAAUCAUAGCAAUAGNAAACUAUUAAACACCAUAAUCAUUGUACUAAGUAUAAAUAAAACUAUACCUAUACCUUAAUAAUAAUACUGUUUAUUGGUGAAAAUAAAUAAAAAUAACCAUGAAAAAAUGCAAUGAAAACAGAUGAGAGAUCAGUACAGAGAAGAGAAUUUGAUUUGUCUCUGUAAAUGUAGGUGUUACGGUCUGGUGAAAAAAUUAAAAUAAAAUAAAAUGGAUUGCCCCUUGGCUUCACAAAUAAAAAUAAACUUAAAAAAAUAUUUACUGGCAAUACCUGCAAACUUACAAAAGAAACAACAAAAAUAUGAAAAUUUUACAUGAUAUAUAAACUGAAUUUUUUUUAAAAAACUAAUGAUUCACUAGUACAUUUCUAUCAAGGAGAACCCAGAGUUCACACAGCUAUGCAUCUAGUUUGCAAUAUUUUAAUGUUGCAAAACAAUUCAGUUAUUUUAUAAUUCCAUCAAAACAAUGUGUGUAACAUGCUAACCUUUUAGUAAAUAAGUCAUAGACCAUAUGAAAAAGGGAGUGGCUAUUGUUACGCCUUGGAUUAUAUAAGAUUUUUAAUAUAUCAUUACUGCCAGUUGAAAGAACAUACAAUGAAUAAGAUCUGAAAGUUUCAGUGCUCUUGCAUUUAAGGACCAAAAGUUACAGGUGUCAAAAAUUGCAAAGACUUGAGUGAAAAUCAGUGUUUUAACGGCCUUACCAGCCUUAAUUUCACGUUUUUAGUUAAUUCAAACACUUGUAACUCUGUUGAUAUUCAACAUUUGGAGAUUAUAACUCCUCCACUAGUUUAUAUAAUACUUUUUCUUUAAACAUGGACCACAUAAGAUGCUCAGUCCCAGUCUUCUGCUCGUUUUUCAUAUGGUCAAUAUUCAAGGUCAAAAAAUCAAACUUGUAUUANAUCAUUAGGAUGUGUAUAAUAAUAGCUUGUUGCCAAUUAAUUGUAUAUAAAAUAAGAAAUAAAGUUCCACAAACUACCGGAAAA
rnacentral:lncRNA from 1 species